rnacentral:rRNA from 1 species
GCUUCUCUGAUGUUAGCGGCGGACGGGUGAGUAACACGUGGGUAACCUACCUAUAAGACUGGGAUAACUCCUUGGAAACCGGGGCUAAUACCGGAUAAUAUUUUGAACCGCAUGGUUCAAUAGUGAAAGACGGUUUCGGCUGUCACUUAUAGAUGGACCCGCGCCGUAUUAGCUAGUUGGUAAGGUAACGGCUUACCAAGGCGACGAUACGUAGCCGACCUGAGAGGGUGAUCGGCCACACUGGAACUGAGACACGGUCCAGACUCCUACGGGAGGCAGCAGUAGGGAAUCUUCCGCAAUGGGCGAAAGCCUGACGGAGCAACGCCGCGUGAGUGAUGAAGGUCUUCGGAUCGUAAAACUCUGUUGUUAGGGAAGAACAAAUUUGUUAGUAACUGAACAAGUCUUGACGGUACCUAACCAGAAAGCCACGGCUAACUACGUGCCAGCAGCCGCGGUAAUACGUAGGUGGCAAGCGUUAUCCGGAAUUAUUGGGCGUAAAGCGCGCGUAUGCGGUUUCUUAAGUCUGAUGUGAAAGCCCACGGCUCAACCGUGGAGGGUCAUUGGAAACUGGGAAACUUGAGUGCAGAAGAGGAGAGUGGAAUUCCAUGUGUAACGGUGAAAUGCGCAAAGAUACGGAGCGAACACCAUUG